AAAAGCACUUUGAAGAGAGAGUUAAAGAGGACGUGAAACCGAUGAGAUGGAAACGGACAGAGCUAGCGUAUCUGGCUUGCAUUCAGCUUAUGCGGUCGCUACCGAUGCGUCGCUGACCUCCAGAUUGGGGCUUUGACUAGUCGGUCUGUGGCUGUGUUGUGCAUUUGCAAGUGGAGUGCGUCGAGGCAUCUGGGAUGGCGAAAUGAACUUGGCUUUGAGGCCAGCUUGCUGGUACCCGGGCCUGGGGAUUUCUGUUCGUUCUAGGUGUUUUUGCGGUCGAACAAGGCUUUGCGAGCCUGGUUGGAUGCCGAGCUGGGUGUCAGUGGCGGUCGCAUGCAACACGUACUGUGCCACCAGUUCGGUCCUGGCCGAGCUCACUCCAUGUUCAAUCUCGGCGUAAAAGCUGGUCAUCUUUCCGACCCGUCUUGAAACACGGACCAAGGAGUUUAUCGUGUGCGCGAGUCAUUGGGCGUUGAAAACCCAAAGGCGCAAUGAAAGUAAAUGUAUCCGCUCGGAACUGAUGUGCGACCCUGGUCACUGCGGUGGCCAGGAGCAGCAUGGCCCCAUCCUGACUGCUUGCAGUGGGGUGGAGGAAGAGCGUACGCGAUGAGACCCGAAAGAUGGUGAACUAUUCCUGAGCAGGAUAAAGCCAGAGGAAACUCUGGUGGAAGUCCGAAGCGAUUCUGACGUGCAAAUCGAUCGUCUGACUUGGGUAUAGGGGCGAAAGACUAAUCGAACCAUC
rnacentral:rRNA from 1 species